AGAGUUUGAUCCUGGCUCAGAAUGAACGCUGGCGGCGUGCCUAACACAUGCAAGUCGAACGAGAGGAGUCCCUUCGGGGGCUUAGUAAAGUGGCGAACGGGUGAGUAACGCGUGGGUAAUCUGCCCUAGGGUGGGGAAUAACUCGGGGAAACUUGAGCUAAUGCCGCAUGACAUCCUCAGAGCUACGGCUUUGGGGAUCAACGGUAGCGAAUUUCGAAUGCUGCCGCCCAAGGAGGAGCCCGCGUCCCAUUAGCUUGUUGGUGGGGUAAUGGCCUACCAAGGCUGCGAUGGGUAGCCGGCCUGAGAGGGUGAUCGGCCACACUGGAACUGAGACACGGUCCAGACUCCUACGGGAGGCAGCAGUGGGGAAUAUUGGGCAAUGGGCGAAAGCCUGACCCAGCGACGCCGCGUGGGUGAUGAAGGCCCUUGGGUCGUAAAACCCUGUCGUGUGGGACGAAAACCCCGAGCUCUAAUAUAGCUCGGGAUUGACGGUACCACAGGAGGAAGCCCCGGCUAACUCCGUGCCAGCAGCCGCGGUAAUACGGAGGGGGCGAGCGUUAUUCGGAAUUAUUGGGCGUAAAGGGCAGGUAGGCGGCCUUGUGUGUCCUCUGUGAA
rnacentral:rRNA from 1 species